GCCAAACAGCCGUAGUACGCUCUCCUAAAGCGGGUGUCGCAGGUUCGAAUCCUGCCGAGGGCACCAUAU
rnacentral:tRNA from 1 species